UACGAAGGGUGCAAGCGUUACUCGGAAUUACUGGGCGUAAAGGGUGCGUAGGUGGUUUGUUAAGUCUGCUGUGAAAUCCCCGGGCUCAACCUGGGAAUGGCAGUGGAUACUGGCAAGCUAGAGUGCGGUAGAGGGUAGUGGAAUUCCGCGUGUAGCAGUGAAAUGCGUAGAGAUGCGGAGGAACACCGAUGGCGAAGGCAGCCCCCUGGGCUGACACUGACGCUGAGGCACGAAAGCGUGGGGAGCAAACAGG
rnacentral:rRNA from 1 species